rnacentral:rRNA from 1 species
GACGAACGCUGGCGGCGUGCUUAACACAUGCAAGUCGAACGGAAAAGCCCUGCUUUUGUGGGGUUCUCGAGUGGCGAACGGGUGAGUAACACGUGAGUAACCUUCCCUUGACUGUGUGAUAACUUCAGGAAACUGGGGCUAAUACCUGAUAGGAGCUCCUGCUGCAGGGUGGGGGUUGGAAAGUUUCGGCUGUUGGGGAUGGACUCGCGGCUUAUCAGCUUGUUGGUGGGGUAGUGGCUUACCAAGGCUUUGACGGGUAGCCGGCCUGAGAGGGUGACCGGCCACAUUGGGACUGAGAUACGGCCCAGACUCCUACGGGAGGCAGCAGUGGGGAAUAUUGCACAAUGGGCGGAAGCCUGAUGCAGCAACGCCGCGUGCGGGAUGACGGCCUUCGGGUUGUAAACCGCUUUCGCCUGUGACGAAGCGUGAGUGACGGUAAUGGGUAAAGAAGCACCGGCUAACUACGUG